rnacentral:piRNA from 1 species
UGGAAACCUGUGCCCUCUGUAGAUGC